UUUGGCAGCCACGGAGUAGAGGGUACACCCGAUCCCAUUCCGAACUCGGCAGUUAAGCUCUUCCUCGCCGAUGAUACUGCGCAUCUUCGCGCGGGAAAGUAGGAAGCUGCCAAAU
rnacentral:rRNA from 1 species